AGUGAACGCUGGCGGUAGGCCUAACACAUGCAAGUCGAACGGCAGCACAGUAAGAGUUUGCUCUUACGGGUGGCGAGUGGCGGACGGGUGAGGAAUACAUCGGAAUCUACUUUUUCGUGGGGGAUAACGUAGGGAAACUUACGCUAAUACCGCAUACGACCUACGGGUGAAAGCAGGGGAUCUUCGGACCUUGCACGAUUGAAUGAGCCGAUGUCGGAUUAGCUAGUUGGCGGGGUAAAGGCCCACCAAGGCGACGAUCCGUAGCUGGUCUGAGAGGAUGAUCAGCCACACUGGAACUGAGACACGGUCCAGACUCCUACGGGAGGCAGCAGUGGGGAAUAUUGGACAAUGGGCGCAAGCCUGAUCCAGCCAUACCGCGUGGGUGAAGAAGGCCUUCGGGUUGUAAAGCCCUUUUGUUGGGAAAGAAAAGCAGCAGGUUAAUACCCCGCUGUUCUGACGGUACCCAAAGAAUAAGCACCGGCUAACUUCGUG
rnacentral:rRNA from 1 species